rnacentral:tRNA from 1 species
GGGUUUGUAGUUCAAUGCAGAAUACGGCAGUCCCACACUGGGGCAGUGAUGUGGGUUCGAUUCCUACCAAAUCCA